AUUUUUUUUUAUGUUUUGUGCGGUAGUAAAGAAAAAUUUGUAUGUGAAACCUGUGUAAAAUCUGCGUUUUUUUAUUUCAAAAGGAUCGUUUUAUAGAUUUGUUACAUAAAUAACUAUUUUAUAAAUAAGGAGUUUCACGACGAAUUGCUGCGAUCGAUUUCAAGAAAAAUAGACUUUGAAAUUUUUACAAAUUUAACUUGCCUAGCAAUCGUGUUGACCUGGGUUAAAGUCCAACAUUUCACAUGGUCACGUCUCAAGAAUGGCAAUAUAGAGGAAACCCCAUUAUAAUUGCAGAAACUGAAUACGGAUUAAGCUACCGCUGUAUAAAUACCACAAGCUAAUAUUAUUCACACCCAGAGGCGCCAAACUAUGGUCUAUUAAGUUAAUGUAUAACUAGCCAAUGCUCGCGCAAUUUACUCACAUAAUUAAGCACAAGUCUGUUAAUAAAUUUAUUAAACAGCUAAUGCUAAACUUGGGAAUAAGUUCAUUCAUAAAAACUUGGAGAUAAAGGCUGAACAUAAUGACACCAACUCGUGGUUGAAACCCAUCUUGGAAUUACAUGAGCAUGACCUGGAAAACGAAAUGACGGAUGCAAC